GACGAGGCACUACGGUGCUGAAGCAACAAAUGCCCUGCUUCCAGGAAAAGCCUCUAAGCAUCAGGUAACAUCAAAUCGUACCCCAAACCGACACAGGUGGUCAGGUAGAGAAUACCAAGGCGCUUGAGAGAACUCGGGUGAAGGAACUAGGCAAAAUGGUGCCGUAACUUCGGGAGAAGGCACGCUGACACGUAGGUGAAGUGAUUUACUCACGGAGCUGAAGUCAGUCGAAGAUACCAGCUGGCUGCAACUGUUUAUUAAAAACACAGCACUGUGCAAACACGAAAGUGGACGUAUACGGUGUGACGCCUGCCCGGUGCCGGAAGGUUAAUUGAUGGGGUCAGCGCAAGCGAAGCUCCUGAUCGAAGCCCCGGUAAACGGCGGCCGUAACUAUAACGGUCCUAAGGUAGCGAAAUUCCUUGUCGGGUAAGUUCCGACCUGCACGAAUGGCGUAAUGAUGGCCAGGCUGUCUCCACCCGAGACUCAGUGAAAUUGAACUCGCUGUGAAGAUGCAGUGUACCCGCGGCAAGACGGAAAGACCCCGUGAACCUUUACUAUAGCUUGACACUGAACAUUGAGCCUUGAUGUGUAGGAUAGGUGGGAGGCUUUGAAGCGUGGACGCCAGUCUGCGUGGAGCCGACCUUGAAAUACCACCCUUUAAUGUUUGAUGUUCUAACGUGGACCCGUGAUCCGGGUUGCGGACAGUGUCUGGUGGGUAGUUUGACUGGGGCGGUCUCCUCCUAAAGAGUAACGGAGGAGCACGAAGGUUGGCUAAUCCUGGUCGGACAUCAGGAGGUUAGUGCAAUGGCAUAAGCCAGCUUGACUGCGAGCGUGACGGCGCGAGCAGGUGCGAAAGCAGGUCAUAGUGAUCCGGUGGUUCUGAAUGGAAGGGCCAUCGCUCAACGGAUAAAAGGUACUCCGGGGAUAACAGGCUGAUACCGCCCAAGAGUUCAUAUCGACGGCGGUGUUUGGCACCUCGAUGUCGGCUCAUCACAUCCUGGGGCUGAAGUAGGUCCCAAGGGUAUGGCUGUUCGCCAUUUAAAGUGGUACGCGAGCUGGGUUUAGAACGUCGUGAGACAGUUCGGUCCCUAUCUGCCGUGGGCGCUGGAGAACUGAGGGGGGCUGCUCCUAGUACGAGAGGACCGGAGUGGACGCAUCACUGGUGUUCGGGUUGUCAUGCCAAUGGCACUGCCCGGUAGCUAAAUGCGGAAGAGAUAAGUGCUGAAAGCAUCUAAGCACGAAACUUGCCCCGAGAUGAGUUCUCCCUGAGACUUUAGGUCUCCUGAAGGAACGUUGAAGACGACGACGUUGAUAGGCCGGGUGUGUAAGCGCAGCGAUGCGUUGAGCUAACCGGUACUAAUGAACCGUGAGGCUUAACCUU
rnacentral:rRNA from 1 species